rnacentral:tRNA from 1 species
GGAGGGAUGGCCGAGUGGUUGAAGGCGGCGGUCUCGAAAACCGUUAUGCGGGUUUUCCCCGUAUCGAGGGUUCGAAUCCCUCUCCCUCCGCCA